CAGUAGCCGCGGUAAUACGUAGGGUGCAAGCGUUAAUCGGAAUUACUGGGCGUAAAGCGUGCGCAGGCGGUUAUAUAAGACAGAUGUGAAAUCCCCGGGCUCAACCUGGGAACUGCAUUUGUGACUGUAUAGCUAGAGUACGGCAGAGGGGGAUGGAAUUCCGCGUGUAGCAGUGAAAUGCGUAGAUAUGCGGAGGAACACCGAUGGCGAAGGCAAUCCCCUGGGCCUGUACUGACGCUCAUGCACGAAAGCGUGGGGAGCAAACAGGAUUAGAUACCCCGGUAGUCCAUGUCUCUUAUAC
rnacentral:rRNA from 1 species